UACAUGUGGGGCAAGCGUUGUUCGGAAUUACUGGGCGUAAAGCGUGCGUAGGCGGUUCGUUAAGUCUGUUGUGAAAGCCCCGGGCUCAACCUGGGAAUGGCAAUGGAUACUGGCGAGCUAGAGUGUGUCAGAGGAUGGUGGAAUUCCCGGUGUAGCGGUGAAAUGCGUAGAGAUCGGGAGGAACAUCAGUGGCGAAGGCGGCCAUCUGGGACAACACUGACGCUGAGGCACGAAAGCGUGGGGAGCAAACAGG
rnacentral:rRNA from 1 species